CUGCAAGUUGUCCUACGAACUCUACAUAUGUGUUAUGGCAGAUGCACUCGCAUACAUGCCUAAGUGCACACGCAUGUACACGUACACACACACGUAAUAGUUAAUCUUUUUAAAUUGUCUAUUCUAUCUUUAAUGUCAUGCUCAUGAAACUGUCAAGUGUUUAAUAACAGUUAAAGAAGGACAGGAAACACCCACAGCUGAUCCCUGAAAACCUACACUCCCCUCUCCUCUCCAGACUGAACCAAGAAUGCAACUUAAAAACCAUGAGCCUCCGCCCAGCAGCCUCCAUGCCCUUGGAGACACUUCCAGUAGGCUCCCGUCUGUCCUCACUUUGUGCUGGACUCUAGGCACUGGCCUCUGCGUCUGAGUUUCUAAACACUCCUUCCGAUCACACUCUUGCCCUUCCACCGAGGUAGGCAAACACCCCCUGCAAAUCCCCUUGUGCCUACUUCUUACCCUCCAGCCCUGCUUCUGCCCCCAGAUAACUCUCUUUAGAUUCUCUCCCCUUUGACCACCAUCUAAGAUCAUUAUCUAGCCCUUAGCCUGCAUUGUUUAUCCGGCUCUGACAUCUUACCUCUUUAAUCAUAACCUUUCCCUCCCACUGGAAUAAAAGUCCUAUGCUGCUGGCAGCCCCAACAACGUCAGCAGGGACGUGCAGUCAAUAUUUGCUUAGUGAGCUAAAUGUGGGAAAGAAGGUAGUGUGACAUGAGACAGUGCAGAACAGGAAACAGAAGUAAGCCAAUGAAACCUUCCCUUGUGCCCACACUGUCAUUUCUAUCAAGGGUCCUUCAGGGAUUAAGAUGUAGCUCCCAGCUGCUGCCCCAGCACCUGCCUGCAUGCUGCCAUGCUCCCAACCCCAUGACUGUGAUGGACUAAACCUCUGAAACUUUGCCUGUGAUUCCAGCUCCAGAAUCGGUUCUGACACUCUCACGGGGCCACUGGCACCAGACAUUCAUGUGUUCCUCAGCUGGAGUUGCAUAGUCCAAGGACAGAGCCUGGUGUGGCAUGGGCUGGCUCAAACUUGCUGCACAGCUGACGUUGACUGGCCAUGAACUCCGGAGCCCCCUGUCUCUGUUUCCAGACUUCAGAGAUUACUGCCCGCAAUAGCAGCUACAGAAGUGAAUAUACACUCAUGUGCAAAUGUUCUUACUUGUUGAAGAACAAAUAAGGGGGAGGGAGUGGAGGGAAAGUCUUGGGCAACCAAGAUGACCUUGAGAGUUGAGGCUGACCUUGAGCUCCUUAACCUCUUGCCUCUGACUUCCAAAGUCUUAUGUGGCCCUGAGGAUCGAGCCAAGGAUGCAAGCAUGCUGGGGGAACACUUUAUCAACUGAGCUACAUCCCUACAUUCAAUAUAUUUAUUUUUGCUGAAGCAAUUUGCUGUUGAGCUAUCUAGCAUGUAAUUCCUAUUUCCUCAAUAAACAGAAUCCAAUACCUAUUUUUGCAGAAUUCAAUAAUGUAUAUAGA